AUGCAAGUCGAGCGACGGGCCCCAGCUUGCUGGGGAGACCGAGCGGCGAAAGGGUGAGUAAUAAAUAGGCAACUUGCCCCUGGGACGGGGAUAGCGUCCGGAAACGGGCGGUAAUACCCGAUGGUACACAUGUGUUGUUAGGAUGUAUGUGUUAAAGGAGGGGAUCUUCGGACCUUCCGCCUGGGGAGAGGCCUAUUUCCUAUUAGUUUGUUGGUGGGGUAACGGCCUACCAAGACGUUGAUGGGUAGCCGGACUGAGAGGUUGACCGGUCACACUGGGACUGAGACACUGCCCAGACUUCUACGGAAGGCUGCAGUCGAGAAUCAUUCGCAAUGGGCGAAAGCCUGACGAUGCGACGCCGCGUGUAUGAUGAAGGCCCUCGGGUUGUAAAGUACUGUCAGGUGUUAUGAACAGCGCUGGGAGUAAUACGCUCAGCGUUUGACAAAGGCACCAAAGGAAGCCACGGCUAACUUCGUGCCAGCAGCCGCGGUAACACGAAGGUGGCGAGCGUUGUUCGGAAUUAUUGGGCAUAAAGGGCACGUAGGCGGAAAGGUAAGUUGGUGGGUGAAAUCCCUCGGCUCAACCGAGGAACUGCCGCCAAUACUGCCUAUCUCGAGUGCAGGAGGGGAGAGUGGAACUCUUGGUGGAGCGGUGAAAUGCGUUGAUAUCAAGGGGAACGCCGGCGGCGAAAGCGGCUCUCUGGCCUGUUACUGACGCUGAUGUGCGAAAGCUAGGGGAGCAAACGGGAUUAGAUACCCCGGUAGUCCUAGCCGUAAACGAUGGGCACUAAGUAGAGGGGUUUU
rnacentral:rRNA from 1 species